UACGUAGGAUGCAAGCGUUGUCCGGAAUUAUUGGGCGUAAAGAGUUCGUAGGUGGUUAUCUAAGUCUGGUGUUAAAGCCCGGAGCUCAACUCCGGCAUGGCAUUGGAAACUGGAUGGCUAGAGUGUGGAAGAGGUAACUGGAAUUCCUAGUGUAGCGGUGAAAUGCGCAGAUAUUAGGAGGAACACCUGUGGCGAAAGCGAGUUACUGGUCCAUUACUGACACUGAGGAACGAAAGCCAGGGUAGCAAAAGGG
rnacentral:rRNA from 1 species